rnacentral:lncRNA from 1 species
CUGGGUGAGAGGCGGCCGGACCCUGCGCAUUGCUUGUGCUGGUGAGUGCCGGCCCCAGAAGCAGGGGGGCUCGGGACAGCCCUUGCACCUCGCCCUGCCGCAGGCUCUCACAGGCUCCCUUUUCUCUCAGUCUCUCAUCUUUUUCUUUUUCUUUUUUUUCUCUUUAAUUAAUCAUUCAUUUAUUUUUUUGUUUUGUUUUUCUUCAGUUGUGAAACAAUGGCUGGAAGGAGUCAAGGUUCACUUGGGCUCUGGAAAGCAAUGCCCCUGGCCUGCCAUAGAGAUUGAGAAGAUCUACAAGAAUCUUUCCCAGCUCUUCUGCUCUGUGCUGAGGAACUGGCAGGACUGCCAGGAGGAAGAGGACAAACAGGCUGUCCUCGGGGCUGUGGCUACCAUGAUGGCUGUCCUCCUGCAAGAGGAGCUGCCCCGAGAGCACGUUUGGGAGCAGCUCCUCUGGCUCGUGCGCCUGUAUCAGGAGGUCCAAGACACCUGCAGGGGGACCAAGAGCCUCACUAUCUUCCUGGAGGCCUUAGAGGGAGUUCAAUCGGUCAUCCCUAAGGACAAGUUUCUGGCC